rnacentral:rRNA from 1 species
ACGGGUGAGUAAUGUAUCGGAACGUGCCCAGUAGCGGGGGAUAACUACGCGAAAGCGUGGCUAAUACCGCAUACGCCCUACGGGGGAAAGGGGGGGAUCGCAAGACCUCCCACUAUUGGAGCGGCCGAUAUCGGAUUAGCUAGUUGGUGGGGUAAAGGCCUACCAAGGCGACGAUCCGUAGCUGGUUUGAGAGGACGACCAGCCACACUGGGACUGAGACACGGCCCAGACUCCUACGGGAGGCAGCAGUGGGGAAUUUUGGACAAUGGGGGCAACCCUGAUCCAGCCAUCCCGCGUGUGCGAUGAAGGCCUUCGGGUUGUAAAGCACUUUUGGCAGGGAAGAAACGGCACCUUUUAAUACAGGGUGUCACUGACGGUACCUGCAGAAUAAGCACCGGCUAACUACGUGCCAGCAGCCGCGGUAAUACGUAGGGUGCAAGCGUUAAUCGGAAUUACUGGGCGUAAAGCGUGCGCAGGCGGUUCGGAAAGAAAGAUGUGAAAUCCCAGGGCUCAACCUUGGAACGGCAUUUUUAACUCCCGAGCUAGAGUAUGUCAGAGGGGGGUAGAAUUCCACGU